UACACACCGCCCGUCACACCAUGGGAGUGGGUUUCGACCAGAAGUAGUUAGCCUAACCGCAAGGAGGGCGACUACCACGGUGAGAUUCAUGACUGGGGUG
rnacentral:rRNA from 1 species